rnacentral:rRNA from 1 species
UACGUAGGGUGCAAGCGUUGUCCGGAAUUAUUGGGCGUAAAGAGCUUGUAGGCGGUUUGUCGCGUCUGCUGUGAAAUUUCGGGGCUCAACCCCGAACUUGCAGUGGGUACGGGCAGGCUAGAGUGCGGCAGAGGAGACUGGAAUUCCUGGUGUAGCAGUGAAAUGCGUAGAUAUCAGGAGGAACACCGAUGGCGAAGGCAGGUCUCUGGGCUGACACUGACGCUCAUGCACGAAAGCGUGGGGAGCAAACAGG